rnacentral:rRNA from 1 species
UGCCUUGGAGAGGGGGAAUAACACUCCGAAAGGAGUGCUAAUACCGCAUGAUGCAGUUGAGUCGCAUGGCUCUGACUGCCAAAGAUUUAUCGCUCUGAGAUGGCCUCGCGUCUGAUUAGCUAGUAGGCGGGGUAACGGCCCACCUAGGCGACGAUCAGUAGCCGGACUGAGAGGUUGACCGGCCACAUUGGGACUGAGACACGGCCCAGACUCCUACGGGAGGCAGCAUG